AUUUUUUUUAAACAUAUUUUUUUCGGAUUUUAACUGCUGGCAAAAAUGUCGUUAUUAAGAAGUGUACGCUUGUAGCAUGCUCGGAAUAAGUAAGUACAGUAAAUACAAGGGCCUUACUUUCCACAAACUCAAAAGUAUACACUUUUUAAAACCAAAAUAUGCAUUUUAAUAUUUUUUUUAAAAGAAAGUGAAGAUGAAAUUUACAAGAACUUUUUUUUUUUUUCUAUUGCAUGCUUUUAGAUAUACGUAUUGUCCUUCAUAAGCGGAUCUCUAUUAAAGCUUUCCAAAAAUUGUAGGGGGCUCCACAAACUUAAAUCCGGCCCUGAAUGUAUUAGUAAUACCAUUAGAUAGAGAAUCGAUCUCUAUAAAUUACUUUGACCGAAGUAACAUUUUUAAGACAAAUAUUUAUUUAUGUACUUAACGUACAUAUUAAGCGUUCCUUGCUCUUUGUUACAUAUUAUGAAAUAUAAUAAUGUAAACUUUAUUUUGUAUUAUCUAUAUUCAAAUGUUACUCCAUUUUUUUAAAUAAAACUUGCAACAAAAGUUGUAGUUAUCUUGUUGUGUUUGUCCCCUCCUUUUCCCACAGUCACAAAAUGCAUCUACCGUGCUGUGUAUACUCCACAUAACAACUAAACAAAAAUUAAUUGAGAGUAACCAUAAUUUAGUUAAUAUUUUUUGGGGCUAUGAAGUGCUCAGUAUGUCAGGAAUCGGCGUGCCUACAGCGGAGUCAUUAUCCCAAUAAUAAGUUUCAAAGUCUCAUUGAUGUAUCGAUCUAAAAUGUGCAUUUAUUUGUACAAUCGAAACAUUUCUUAAUACUAUCCUUUGCCAUUGAAGUUGACGUCAUCAUCUAAUGACCUGAUGUUUGAACCAAGAGUUGUUAGGACUUCUCAAGUGCACGACUGUUAAUGUAUUAAUAGAAAACUCGGGGUUAUUGAAACGAACAAAUGUUCUCUAAACCACACAAUUUUUUGUUGAAUAGACAACUAGCCACUUUUUCUUUUACUCCGGGGCUGUUUUAAUUUCUUUGUUUUUUUUAACCCAUGACCUCUCACCCAGUUUGUUGGUUCUCCUGAUGUUUCGAUUUUUUUU